UUCUCAGUUCGGACUGUAGGCUGCAACUCGCCUACACGAAGUCGGAAUCGCUAGUAAUCGCGGAUCAGCAUGCCGCGGUGAAUACGUUUCCCGGGCCUUGUACACACCGCCCGUCACACCAUGGGAGUUUGUAACGCCCAAAGUCGGUGGCCUAACCUUUAUGGAGGGAGCCGCCUAAGGCGGGACAGAUGACUGGGGUGAAGUCGUAACAAGGUAUC
rnacentral:rRNA from 1 species